GAUGAACGCUGGCGGCGUGCCUAAUACAUGCAAGUCGAGCGAACAGACGAGGAGCUUGCUCCUCUGACGUUAGCGGCGGACGGGUGAGUAACACGUGGAUAACCUACCUAUAAGACUGGGAUAACUUCGGGAAACCGGAGCUAAUACCGGAUAAUAUAUUGAACCGCAUGGUUCAAUAGUGAAAGACGGCUUUGCUGUCACUUAUAGCUGGAUCUGGGCCGCAUUAGCUAGUUGGUAAGGUAACGGCCUACCAAGGCGACGAGGCGUAGCCGAGCUGAGAGGGUGAUCGGCGACACGGGAGGUGAGACGCGGUCCAGACGCCUACGGGAGGCAGCAGUAGGGAAUGGUCCGCAAUGGGCGAAAGCCUGGCGGAGCAACGCCACGUGAGUGAUGAAGGUCUUCGGAUCGUAAAACUCUGUUAUUAGGGAAAAACAAAUGUGUAAGUAACUAUGCCCGUCUUGACGGUACCUAAUCAGAAAGCCACGGCUAACUACGUG
rnacentral:rRNA from 1 species